CCUACGGGUGGCAGCAGUGGGGAAUAUUGCACAAUGGGGGGAACCCUGAUGCAGCGACGCCGCGUGGGUGAAGGAGUAUUUCGGUAUGUAAAGCCCUAUCAGCAGGGAAGAACAAUGACGGUACCUGACGAAGAAGCACCGGCUAAAUACGUGCCAGCAGCCGCGGUAAUACGUAUGGUGCAAGCGUUAUCCGGAUUUACUGGGUGUAAAGGGAGCGCAGGCGGCGCGUUAAGCCUGGUGUGAAAGCCCGAGGCCCAACCGCGGGACUGCAUUGGGAACUGGCGCGCUGGAGUGCCGGAGGGGUAGGCGGAAUUCCUAGUGUAGCGGUGAAAUGCGUAGAUAUUAGGAGGAACACCAGUGGCGAAGGCGGCCUACUGGACGGUGACUGACGCUGAGGCUCGAAAGCGUGGGGAGCGAACAGGAUUAGAUACCCGAGUAGUC
rnacentral:rRNA from 1 species